GUUUUUCGCUUCCCGAUGAGCCCGCGUCAGAUUAGCUAGUUGGUGAGGUAAUGGCUCACCAAGGCAACGAUCUGUAACUGGUCUGAGAGGAUGAUCAGUCACACUGGAACUGAGACACGGUCCAGACUCCUACGGGAGGCAGCAGUAGGGAAUAUUGCACAAUGGAGGAAACUCUGAUGCAGCGACGCCGCGUGAGUGAUGAAGGACUUCGGUUCGUAAAGCUCUGUCGCAUGGGAAUAAUAAAGUG
rnacentral:rRNA from 1 species